CUCCUCUGGGCGAUUCAUGGUCCCUGCCCCCCACACUCAGUGCCUGCUCUUCAGACUCGCACACUGGAAGGUCUUCAAAUGCUACGGAAUCAGCUAACAACACUGUUGUCCCAGUGCUACGGAAUCAGGUGACACUGUUGUCCCAGUGCAUAGUAUUGGGUGACGCUGUUGUCCCAGUGCAUAGUAUUGGGUGACGCUGUUGUCCUAAUGCAUAUCAGGUGACACUGUUGUCCCAAUGCUACGGAAUCAGGUGACGCUAUUGUCCCAGUGCAUGGUAUUGGGCGACACUGUUGGCCUAUUGCAUGGUAUCGGGUGAUACUGUUGUCCAAUGCUAUGGAAUCAAAUGAUGCUGUUUU